rnacentral:misc_RNA from 1 species
UUUCCGUAGGUGGACCUGCGGAAGGAUCAUUAACGAGUUUUUUUCGGUUUACCGAAAACUCCCACCCUUGUGUAUUUUCGCUGAAAAGCAGCUUCGGCGGGCCGUCUGGGGGGUCUCCAGCGAUGGAGCUUCUUGGACAUCGGCUCACUGCGGAUUUGCGUCCGCCGAAGAACCAACUCUUUACAAUUUGAAGUCUGAUUAAAAAACAAAAUAAAUCAAAACUUUCAACAACGGAUCUCUUGGUUCUG